GACGAACGCUGGCGGCGUGCCUAAUACAUGCAAGUCGAGCGAAUCUUUUGGGAGCUUGCUCCCGAAAGAUUAGCGGCGGACGGGUGAGUAACACGUGGGCAACCUGCCUAUAAGACUGGGAUAACUUCGGGAAACCGGAGCUAAUACCGGAUACGUUCUUUUCUCGCAUGAGAGAAGAUGGAAAGACGGUCUCGGCUGUCACUUAUAGAUGGGCCCGCGGCGCAUUAGCUAGUUGGUGGGGUAAUGGCUCACCAAGGCGACGAUGCGUAGCCGACCUGAGAGGGUGAUCGGCCACACUGGGACUGAGACACGGCCCAGACUCCUACGGGAGGCAGCAGUAGGGAAUCUUCCGCAAUGGACGAAAGUCUGACGGAGCAACGCCGCGUGAACGAAGAAGGCCUUCGGGUCGUAAAGUUCUGUUGUUAGGGAAGAACAAGUACCAGAGUAACUGCUGGUACCUUGACGGUACCUAACCAGAAAGCCACGGCUAACUACGUGCCAGCCGCCGCUGUAACAC
rnacentral:rRNA from 1 species